rnacentral:rRNA from 1 species
AUUGAACGCUGGCGGCAGGCCUAACACAUGCAAGUCGAGCGGUAGAGAGAAGCUUGCUUCUCUUGAGAGCGGCGGACGGGUGAGUAAUGCCUAGGAAUCUGUCUGGUAGUGGGGGAUAACGUUCGGAAACGGACGCUAAUACCGCAUACGUCCUACGGGAGAAAGCAGGGGACCUUCGGGCCUUGCGCUAUCAGAUGAGCCUAGGUCGGAUUAGCUAGUUGGUGGGGUAAUGGCUCACCAAGGCGACGAUCCGUAACUGGUCUGAGAGGAUGAUCAGUCACACUGGAACUGAGACACGGACCAGACUCCUACGGGAGGCAGCAGUGGGGAAUAGUGGACAAUGGGCGAAAGCCUGAUCCAGCCAUGCCGCGUGUGUGAAGAGGGUCUUCGGAUUGUAAAGCACUUUAAGUUGGGGGGAAGGGCAGUAAAUUAAUACUUUGCUGUUUUGACGUUACCGACAGAAUAAGCACCGGCUAACUCUGUGCCAGCCGCCGCAGUAA